ACGUGCAGUUGAUAAGUUAAAAUCUAGCCCAGAAGCUCAACCAAGCGCAUCUUCAGGUUCAGGCUCAUCCUUGGGUUCUGGCUCUCACCCUGGCAGCAUUCCAAGUACUAAAUUUGAUCAAAAUAUGAACAAAAUAUGAUUGUUGGCAUAACUAUGAAUGGAGGGUUUGGUCUUGUCUAAAGUUUUUGAUACUCUUGCUUCACUUUAUCUUUUUUGUUUCACUUAUCAAACACUUGUUUUUCACUUAUUUAGCAUUUUUGUUGCCAUUUAAUCAUUCACAAUAGCAGUAUCGUAUAUUAUUUCUGUAUAAUAAUUAUUGCGUGAUUAUAGUUUGGAUAUACCCACUCUAAUAUAUUCUCACUAUUGGUUGAGAUAUUUUUCAAUCAUUAAUCAUAUUAAAUUAA